AAAAAAGGUAAGCUACUAAGAGCGAAUGGUGGAUGCCUUGACUGGUAAAGGCGAUGAAGGACGUACUAGACUGCGAUAAGCUACGGGGAGCUGUCAAGAAGCUUUGAUCCGUAGAUUUCCGAAUGGGGCAACCCAAUGUAUAGAGAUAUACAUUACCUAUAUAGGAGCGAACGAGGGGAAUUGAAACAUCUUAGUACCCUCAGGAAAAGAAAUCAAUAGAGAUUGCGUCAGUAGCGGCGAGCGAAAGCGUAAGAGGGCAAACCCAGUGCUUGCACUGGGGGUUGUAGGACUGCAAUGUGCAAGAGGUGAGUUUAGCAGAACAUUCUGGAAAGUAUAGCCAUAGAGGGUGAUAGUCCCGUAUGCGAAAAACAAACCUUAGCUAGCAGUAUCCUGAGUAGGGCGGGACACGAGAAAUCCUGUCUGAAGCUGGGUCGACCACGAUCCAACCCUAAAUACUAAUACCAGAUCGAUAGUGCACAAGUACCGUGAGGGAAAGGUGAAAAGAACUGAGGUGAUCAGAGUGAAAUAGAACCUGAAACCAUUUGCUUACAAUCAUUCAGAGCACUAUGUAGCAAUACAGUGUGAUGGACUGCCUUUUGCAUAAUGAGCCUGCGAGUUGUGGUGUCUGGCAAGGUUAAGCAAACGCGAAGCCGUAGCGAAAGCGAGUCUGAAUAGGGCGCUUAGUCAGAUGCUGCAGACCCGAAACGAAGUGAUCUAUCCAUGAGCAAGUUGAAGCUAGUGUAAGAACUAGUGGAGGACUGAACCCAUAGGCGUUGAAAAGCCCCGGGAUGACUUGUGGAUAGGGGUGAAAGGCCAAUCAAACUUCGUGAUAGCUGGUUCUCUCCGAAAUAUAUUUAGGUAUAGCGUUGUGUCGUAAUAUAAGGGGGUAGAGCACUGAAUGGGCUAGGGCAUACACCAAUGUACCAAACCCUAUCAAACUCCGAAUACCUUAUAUGUAAUCACAGCAGUCAGGCGGCGAGUGAUAAAAUCCGUCGUCAAGAGGGAAACAACCCAGACUACCAGCUAAGGUCCCUAAAUCUUACUUAAGUGGAAAACGAUGUGAAGUUACUUAAACAACCAGGAGGUUGGCUUAGAAGCAGCCAUCCUUUAAAGAAAGCGUAAUAGCUCACUGGUCUAGUGAUUUUGCGCGGAAAAUAUAACGGGGCUAAAGUAAGUACCGAAGCUGUAGACUUGAUUUUAUCAAGUGGUAGGAGAGCGUUCUAUUUGCGUCGAAGGUAUACCGGUAAGGAGUGCUGGAGCGAAUAGAAGUGAGCAUGCAGGCAUGAGUAGCGAUAAUUAAUGUGAGAAUCAUUAACGCCGUAAACCCAAGGUUUCCUACGCGAUGCUCGUCAUCGUAGGGUUAGUCGGGUCCUAAGUCGAGUCCGAAAGGGGUAGACGAUGGCAAAUUGGUUAAUAUUCCAAUACCAACAUUAGUGUGCGAUGGAAGGACGCUUAGGGCUAAGGGGGCUAGCGGAUGGAAGUGCUAGUCUAAGGUCGUAGGAGGUUAUACAGGCAAAUCCGUAUAACAAUACUCCGAGAACUGAAAGGCUUUUUGAAGUCUUCGGAUGGAUAGAAGAACCCCUGAUGCCAUCGAGCCAAGAAAAGUUUCUAAGUUUAGCUAAUGUUGCCCGUACCGUAAACCGACACAGGUGGGUGGGAUGAGUAUUCUAAGGCGCGUGGAAGAACUCUCUUUAAGGAACUCUGCAAAAUAGCACCGUAUCUUCGGUAUAAGGUGUGGUUCGCUUCGUAUUAGGAUUUACUCCGAAAGCGAAGAAACUUACAACAAAGAGUCCCUCCCGACUGUUUACCAAAAACACAGCACUCUGCUAACUCGUAAGAGGAUGUAUAGGGUGUGACGCCUGCCCGGUGCUCGAAGGUUAAUUGAUGGGGUUAGCAUUAGCGAAGCUCUUGAUCGAAGCCCGAGUAAACGGCGGCCGUAACUAUAACGGUCCUAAGGUAGCGAAAUUCCUUGUCGGUUAAAUACCGACCUGCAUGAAUGGCGUAACGAGAUGGGAGCUGUCUCAAAGAGGGAUCCAGUGAAAUUGUAGUGGAGGUGAAAAUUCCUCCUACCCGCGGCAAGACGGAGAGACCCCGUGGACCUUUACUACAGCUUGACACUGCUAUUUGGAUAAGAAUGUGCAGGAUAGGUGGGAGGCUUUGAGUAUAUGACGCCAGUUGUAUAUGAGCCAUUGUUGAGAUACCACUCUUUCUUAUUUGGGUAGCUAACCAGCUUGAGUUAUCCUCAAGUGGGACAAUGUCUGGUGGGUAGUUUGACUGGGGCGGUCGCCUCCCAAAUAAUAACGGAGGCUUACAAAGGUUGGCUCAGAACGGUUGGAAAUCGUUCGUAGAGUAUAAAGGUAUAAGCCAGCUUAACUGCAAGACAUACAAGUCAAGCAGAGACGAAAGUCGGUCUUAGUGAUCCGGUGGUUCUGUGUGGAAGGGCCAUCGCUCAAAGGAUAAAAGGUACCCCGGGGAUAACAGGCUGAUCUCCCCCAAGAGCUCACAUCGACGGGGAGGUUUGGCACCUCGAUGUCGGCUCAUCGCAUCCUGGGGCUGGAGCAAGUCCCAAGGGUAUGGCUGUUCGCCAUUUAAAGCGGUACGCGAGCUGGGUUCAGAACGUCGUGAGACAGUUCGGUCCCUAUCUGCCGUGGGCGUAAGAAGAUUGAAGAGAUUUGACCCUAGUACGAGAGGACCGGGUUGAACAAACCACUGGUGUAGCUGUUGUUCUGCCAAGAGCAUCGCAGCGUAGCUAAGUUUGGAAAGGAUAAACGCUGAAAGCAUCUAAGCGUGAAGCCAACUCUAAGAUGAAUCUUCUCUAAGCUCUCUAGAAGACUACUAGUUUGAUAGGCUGGGUGUGUAAUGGAUGAAAGUCCUUUAGCUGACCAGUACUAAUAGAGCGUUUGGCUUAUCUUUAAUAAAGCAU
rnacentral:rRNA from 1 species